UACGGAGGGGGCUAGCGUUGUUCGGAAUUACUGGGCGUAAAGCGCACGUAGGCGGCUUUGUAAGUUAGAGGCGAAAGCCCAGGGCUUAACUCUGGAAUUGCCCUUAAGACUGCAUCGCUAGAAUCGUGGAGAGGUGAGUGGAAUUCCGAGUGUAGAGGUGAAAUUCGUAGAUAUUCGGAAGAACACCAGUGGCGAAGGCGACUCACUGGACACGUAUUGACGCUGAGGUGCGAAAGCGUGGGGAGCAAACAGG
rnacentral:rRNA from 1 species